rnacentral:misc_RNA from 1 species
GUUGACUAUAUGGGACCUUGCACUGGAAAGAGACGAAGAAGAGGAGGCGGAGUUUAAAGAAAAGAUGAAAGAACAAGCAAAUGUGCCUGAAGAUUUGCCGCCACAGCUCCUUUUCGUUCAUCAGGGUCAAAAGAAUCUCAAGGAGCUGCACUGGCAUCCCCAGAUCCCUGGGAUGCUCAUUUCCACUGCUGAAGACAGUUUCAAUGUCCUCAUGCCGGCAAAUGUCGAAAUGACUCUCCCUCCAGCAGGUCCGAGUGCUGUCUAGUUACUAGACGGAGAAAUCCAAGUUUAGUAUAAGUUUUCGAACCUCUGUUACUUUCUCUCUUUGGCCUAUUUAAUUGUGUAAAA